AAAUUGAAGAGUUUGAUCAUGGCUCAGAUUGAACGCUGGCGGCAGGCCUAACACAUGCAAGUCGAGCGGAAACGAGUUAUCUGAACCUUCGGGGAACGAUAACGGCGUCGAGCGGCGGACGGGUGAGUAAUGCCUAGGAAAUUGCCCUGAUGUGGGGGAUAACCAUUGGAAACGAUGGCUAAUACCGCAUGAUGCCUACGGGCCAAAGAGGGGGCACUU
rnacentral:rRNA from 1 species